rnacentral:rRNA from 1 species
CCUACGGGAGGCUGCAGUGGGGAAUAUUGGACAAUGGGGGGAACCCUGAUCCAGCCAUGCCGCGUGUGUGAAGAAGGCCCUCGGGUUGUAAAGCACUUUCAGUGAGGAAGAACGCCUGGUGGUUAAUACCCAUCAGGAAAGACAUCACUCACAGAAGAAGCACCGGCUAACUCCGUGCCAGCAGCCGCGGUAAUACGGAGGGUGCGAGCGUUAAUCGGAAUUACUGGGCGUAAAGCGCGCGUAGGUGGCUUGAUAAGCCGGUUGUGAAAGCCCCGGGCUCAACCUGGGAACGGCAUCCGGAACUGUCAAGCUAGAGUGCAGGAGAGGAAGGUAGAAUUCCCGGUGUAGCGGGGAAAUGCGUAGAGAUCGGGAGGAAUACCAGUGGCGAAGGCGGCCUUCUGGACUGACACUGACACUGAGGUGCGAAAGCGUGGGUAGCAAACAGGAUUAGAUACCCGUGUAGUC